rnacentral:rRNA from 1 species
CUGGACCUUGCAGCGAACAGCAUGCCUGGCGAUCUUAGUCAAUGGAUAAUGAAGCAUUAUGAUCCAGAGAUGUCACAGAUAGUUAUUCUAGAGAGGGGGAAGAUUCCAGAAGAUGCUGCGAGUGUUCGGAGGAUAUGGCGUUUGCCAAAUAGUGGGAGAAAAGUCUGUUACGAAAACCGCCCUGAGAACACAAAGGCAAUGUUCAGGAUUUACAAUAUCACUUCAAAGAAUUCACCAUCUCUCACAGCAUGGUGCAAGAUGAUCAAAGAUAUGGCAGGAGCUCACGAUGACGACUUCCUACGUGCAUGGUUGUCUCUUGUCUUCUCUUGCUUCCUUGCACCAUCUACAAGUUUAAGCAUUUCACCAAAAAGCUUCCCUGCAGUCAUGGAUGUAAAUGGAAUAACUGAAACCAACAUAUGCCAAUUUGUGGUUGAUCAACUAAAGCUAGCAUUCAAAUCAGGUCGUGCCAAGAAGGCCGUUUGUUGCUGUGUUUUCCACCUCGUAGUAAGUCCACCUACCUUUUGA